UACGGAGGAUCCAAGCGUUAUCCGGAUUUAUUGGGUUUAAAGGGUGCGUAGGUGGCCUGUUAAGUCAGGGGUGAAAGACGGUAGCUUAACUAUCGCAGUGCCCUUGAUACUGAUGGGCUUGAAUGAACUAGAGGUAGGCGGAAUGUACAAGUAGCGGUGAAAUGCAUAGAUAUGUCACAGAACACCAAUUGCGAAGGCAGCUUACUAUGGUUUUAUUGACACUGAGGCACGAAAGCGUGGGGAUCAAACAGG
rnacentral:rRNA from 1 species